rnacentral:rRNA from 1 species
UACGUAGGGUGCAAGCGUUGUCCGGAAUUAUUGGGCGUAAAGAGCUCGUAGGCGGUUUGUCGCGUCUGCUGUGAAAUCCCGAGGCUCAACCUCGGGCCUGCAGUGGGUACGGGCAGACUAGAGUGCGGUAGGGGAGAUUGGAAUUCCUGGUGUAGCGGUGGAAUGCGCAGAUAUCAGGAGGAACACCGAUGGCGAAGGCAGAUCUCUGGGCCGUAAAC